UACGGAGGGUGCAAGCGUUAUCCGGAUUCACUGGGUUUAAAGGGUGCGUAGGAGGACAGGUAAGUUCAGUGGUGAAAUCUCCGAGCUUAACUUGGAAACUGCCGUUGAUACUAUCUGCCUUGAAUAUUGUGGAGGUGAGCGGAAUAUGUCAUGUAGCGGUGAAAUGCUUAGAUAUGACAUAGAACACCAAUUGCGAAGCAGCUCGCUACACAUAUAUUGACUCUGAGGCACGAAAGCGUGGGGAUCAAACAGG
rnacentral:rRNA from 1 species